rnacentral:rRNA from 1 species
UACGUAGGGGGCAAGCGUUGUCCGGAAUCAUUGGGCGUAAAGCGCGUGUAGGCGGUCCGGUAAGUCCGCUGUGAAAGUCGGGGGCUCAACCCUCGAAUGCCGGUGGAUACUGUCAGACUAGAGUACGGAAGAGGCGAGUGGAAUUCCUGGUGUAGCGGUGAAAUGCGCAGAUAUCAGGAGGAACACCCAUUGCGAAGGCAGCUCGCUGGGACGUUACUGACGCUGAGACGCGAAAGCGUGGGGAGCAAACAGG